rnacentral:sRNA from 1 species
UUUUUGGUCAACGAUCUCAACUUU